GCUCUGCCCACUCCCCUCUCCUCUCAUGUCUAUUAGUCUUGCUGGUCAGUUCAUCACCUUCAAACAUCCUUUGGCCUGAGGGUGCGUUGGGAUGGAAACCAUUAUGCCCAGAUCUCAGUUCCCAGCUCCUACUAUGACCAAAUGUGUGGCCUUUGUGGUGACUAUGAUGGGAACCCAGACAAUGACUUCACCAAACCAGAUGGCACUGUGGCAGGAAAUAGCAAUGACUUUGGGAACAGCUGGCAGACCGAAGAGGAUGAAGAUGACUCAUGUACCCCGGGAACAAAGCCUGAUCCAGACUGUGACCCA